UACGAAGGGGGCUAGCGUUGUUCGGAAUUACUGGGCGUAAAGCGCACGUAGGCGGACUAUUAAGUCAGGGGUGAAAUCCCGGGGCUCAACCCCGGAACUGCCUUUGAUACUGGUAGUCUCGAGUCCGGAAGAGGUGAGUGGAAUUCCUGGUGUAGCGGUGAAAUGCGCAGAUAUCAGGAAGAACACCCGUGGCGAAGGCGGCUCUCUGGGACGGUACUGACGCUGAGACGCGAAAGCGUGGGGAGCGAACAGG
rnacentral:rRNA from 1 species